ensembl:snRNA U6 U6 spliceosomal RNA
GUGCUCAUUUGGCAGCAUAUUUACUAAAACUGGAAUGAUGCAAAGAUUAGCAUGGCCCCUGUGCAAGGAUGAUGUGCAAACUCAUGAAGCGUUCCAUAUUUUU